rnacentral:rRNA from 1 species
UACAGAGGGUGCGAGCGUUAAUCGGAAUUACUGGGCGUAAAGCGUGCGUAGACGGUUAUUUAAGUCGGGUGUGAAAGCCCCGGGCUCAACCUGGGAAUUGCAUUCGAGACUGAAUAGCUAGGGUACGGUAGAGGGAAGCGGAAUUUCCGGUGUAGCGGUGAAAUGCGUAGAUAUCGGAAGGAACAUCAGUGGCGAAAGCGGCUUCCUGGACCAGUACCGACGGUUCAGGCACGAAAGCGUGGGGAGCAAACAGG